rnacentral:rRNA from 1 species
AGCGAACGCUGGCGGCAGGCCUAACACAUGCAAGUCGAACGAACCCUUCGGGGUUAGUGGCGGACGGGUGAGUAACACGUGGGAACGUGCCUUUAGGUUCGGAAUAACUCAGGGAAACUUGUGCUAAUACCGAAUGUGCCCUUCGGGGGAAAGAUUUAUCGCCUUUAGAGCGGCCCGCGUCUGAUUAGCUAGUUGGUGAGGUAAUGGCUCACCAAGGCUACGAUCAGUAGCUGGUCUGAGAGGAUGACCAGCCACAUUGGGACCGAGACACGGCCCAAACUCCUACGGGAGGCAGCAGUGGGGAAUCUUGCGCAAUGGGCGAAAGCCUGACCCAGCCAUGCCGCGUGGAUGAUGAAGGUCUUAGGAUUGUAAAAUCCUUUCACCGGUGAAGAUAAUGACUGUAGCCGGAGAAGAAGCCCCGGCUAACUUCGUGCCAGCCGCCGCGGUAACAC